rnacentral:rRNA from 1 species
GACAGAGGUCCCGAGCGUUAGACGGAAUCACUGGGCUUAAAGCGUGUGUAGGCGGAUCUGUAAGUACCUUGUGAAAUCCCAUAGCUUAACUAUGGAACUGCUUGGUAUACUGCGGGUCUUGAGCCACUUAGGGGCAACCGGAACAAAUGGUGGAGCGGUGAAAUGCGUAGAUAUCAUUUGGAACGCCAAUGGUGAAAACAGGUUGCUGGGAGUGUGCUGACGCUGAGACACGAAAGCCAGGGGAGCAAACGGG